UACGUAGGUGGCAAGCGUUGUCCGGAAUUAUUGGGCGUAAAGCGCGCGCAGGCGGUUUCUUAAGUCUGAUGUGAAAGCCCACGGCUCAACCGUGGAGGGUCAUUGGAAACUGGGGAGCUUGAGUGCAGGAGAGAAGAGUGGAAUUCCACGUGUAGCGGUGAAAUGCGUAGAGAUGUGGAGGAACACCAGUGGCGAAGGCGACUCUUUGGCCUGUAACUGACACUGAGGCGCGAAAGCGUGGGGAGCAAACAGG
rnacentral:rRNA from 1 species